ACAGAUUAACAGCUCUUUCUGAUUCGGUGGGUGGUGGUGCAUGGCCGUUCUUAGUUGGUGGAGCGAUUUGUCUGGUUAAUUCCGGUAACGAACGAGACUCUAGCCUGCUAAAUAGGCGUCGUUAUUUAGGUGUGCGCGGCCUCGUGUCGCGCAACUCACUGACGACGUAUUAAAAUUCUUCUUAGAGGGACCGGCGUCUUCGAGCCGCACGAGAUUGAGCAUACAGGUCUGUGAUGCCCUUAGAUGUCUGGCCGCACGCGCGUACAUGAAGGAAUCAAUGUUUCUGCUAGAGCCCGGCAACCCGUGAAACUCCUUC
rnacentral:ncRNA from 1 species